UAAGGCUGAUGGCGACCGGCGCACGGGUGAGUAACACGUAUCCAACCUGCCGUCUACUCUUGGCCAGCCUUCUGAAAGGAAGAUUAAUCCAGGAUGGGAUCAUGAGUUCACAUGUCCGCAUGAUUAAAGGUAUUUUCCGGUAGACGAUGGGGAUGCGUUCCAUUAGAUAGUAGGCGGGGUAACGGCCCACCUAGUCAACGAUGGAUAGGGGUUCUGAGAGGAAGGUCCCCCACAUUGGAACUGAGACACGGUCCAAACUCCUACGGGAGGCAGCAGUGAGGAAUAUUGGUCAAUGGGCGAUGGCCUGAACCAGCCAAGUAGCGUGAAGGAUGACUGCCCUAUGGGUUGUAAACUUCUUUUAUAAAGGAAUAAAGUCGGGUAUGCAUACCCGUUUGCAUGUACUUUAUGAAUAAGGAUCGGCUAACUCCGUGCCAGCAGCCGCGGUAAUACGGAGGAUCCGAGCGUUAUCCGGAUUUAUUGGGUUUAAAGGGAGCGUAGAUGGAUGUUUAAGUCAGUUGUGAAAGUUUGCGGCUCAACCGUAAAAUUGCAGUUGAUACUGGAUGUCUUGAGUGCAGUUGAGGCAGGCGGAAUUCGUGGUGUAGCGGUGAAAUGCUUAGAUAUCACGAAGAACUCCGAUUGCGAA
rnacentral:rRNA from 1 species